rnacentral:tRNA from 1 species
GCCGCCGUAGCUCAGCAGGUAGUUACGCCAUUAAAGCAGCCAAAAGCGCCAGACUUGUAAUCUGGUGGUCACGAGUUCAAUCCUCGUCGGCGGCUCCA